rnacentral:rRNA from 1 species
UACGGAGGGUGCAAACGUUGCUCGGAAUCAUUGGGCGUAAAGCGCACGUAGGCGGUUCGUUAAGUCGGAUGUGAAAUCCCCAGGCUCAACUUGGGAAGUGCAUUCGAAACUGGCGAGCUUGAAUAUGGAAGAGGGUCGCGGAAUUCCCGGUGUAGAGGUGAAAUUCGUAGAUAUCGGGAGGAACACCAGUGGCGAAAGCGGCGCACUGGACCAUAACUGACGCUGAGGCGCGAAAGCUAGGGGAGCAAACAGG